GCUUUGUGAGUUUUGAAUUUGGCAACAACGGCCAUGCCUAACUUUCCUGAUCAUCUUUGUGUUACAAAAUUUAGACAUGUGUAAACCGUUAUGAGGAUUAUUUUGGGGGGAAAUACAGUGAAACUUAUUUACAGCAAUUUGAUGUAAACCAAGUCUUAUGGAGUUGAGCAAAGUGUGCGCGUUAUGUGGACUAAGGGCAUGAACACAGGAACCUUAAUGUUAAUAUCGAAAAUUUGAAAGCUGUUGAAAACAACUGACAUUAUGCUCAAUUAAAAAACAAGGAAAGCAACAAUACCAACAAGUCAUUGGGAGGGUGGCAAGUUGCCUUCUUAUAUGUAAGCUGUCCUAGUAUGAGCAUUGAGACACAGCCUGAUAAAAAUAAAAACUAGCUCAAAAGCAGAAGGACAAUGGACAUGGGAGACUAAAAAGUAGAAUGUCAGCCAUACUAUUUACAUGAACCCUACCAAAAUCAAAGUUUUGAAAGAAUAUGUGAGAGAAGUAUUUUUAGUGAUGCAAUUACCGAAAAGAUUCAAGGAAGAUCUGAGCUACUCUAGAAACUUUUCAAGGAACUACCUGUACAAAAGAGUGAAAACGUGGACUGUAAAUCAAAAAGUUUAACUUAUUAUAUUAAGUGGAAGACAAACAUUAGGAAAAUAAAAAGAUAUUCUGGAUGUGAUAUCUGUAUUAUGAUGUGUUUAAAAAAGGAAAUACACAGGAAUUAU
rnacentral:sRNA from 1 species